AUCAUGUUCAACAUCAUGCCUGAAUAAGGAUAAGAGUUGUUUAUGGCAUUGAUUUUCAAGACGUUUCUUUGCGCUAAUCAGCUGGGAAAAGUCUCGAUUCAGUAGGAUAUUCAGGCAGAGCACUCUCAGAAUUUAAACAGAGAAGUUUAUUUUGUCAUUCCUUUUAUUCUGAAGACUUGAAGACAUCCAGACAAUAUCAAUUAACAUCAGUUAUUGAAGAUAUUGAACGGUUUGGAACCGGACUCAAUUCCAUAAAUUGCGUAUAAAAAUAUAUAACACCAUUAAAGAAAUUUGGAGAAAGGAUUGUCUUAUUAUUGCUGGGAAAUCCCGUUACACAUUGAAAGAGCCCAAAGUCACCAAAGAACAAUUCAAACUUACCAAUAUGUGUAGUGCUGAAACGAAUGUACGAAUAUUCGCGAAUGAAUAGCAAAUUUGUAAUAUUCGAAUGUAUAUUUAGCAUUCGAAUAUUCGAUCACAUGUCUAACACCCAUAUUAAGCAUUGUAAACUAAGCUGCAUCUUGUUAUUUCGUUACAAUGGAAAGGAGAAGCUGGACAAUUUUACUUUGAACAAAAGAAAAGACAAGCCAUCUAUGACUGCCAUGCUUGGUAGAAUCUAUUACUUAACCCAGUAAUAUAGACUCUUCUGCCAUGCUUGUUUACCUUGAAAGUAAAAGCAUGGUUUACAUCGAACGGAGACAAACAUUCUGGAUUUAUCAAUUCAUAAUAGACCCUGAAGAAAUAAUUUGCCUAAAUGUUUGAACGAGUGCGAGCUACGGAGAGUUAAUAUCGAAAGGUACAUCGAAAGUUUUUUUUAAAAAGAUACCUUGAUAUAAUUUGUUUUUUCUCUCUCAAAUAAACAGAACAUUUCUAGAACUAUGAUCGUUAUCAGUUUUCUUUUUAAUACUAUAUCAAACAUGGCGGAAAUAUUUGGACUGACUUACGAAGUUACGUAUCGGUCUCACACAGGAGUUUGGACUGUAGUAUAUUAUUAAAGAAGUAAUCAAACUUAAGUUGUGAUUCUAUUUAAAGGAAAUUUAAAAAAAAAAUAUCAGUAUAUUAUUUGCUUAAAAGAUAAAUGUACACCCAAUUCAAUGGAUACUCAUGCGUUAAGUGUCAACUUCGAACUGACGUGUUUAAGCAGUCUACACAUACACCCACUUAGUAAUACAAACUUAAUACCUUGUCUUUGACAUCUACAAAUAUUUGAAUAUGAAUUGAAUAGCACUCACGAAUAUUCGAAUACUGAAUUAUGGUAUUCGUUUCAGCACUAAAUAUGUGUAAUGUGAAUAAGGAGAGCAAUCUAGAUUCUACCAUGGAUGCAACAUUGAAUGAUACCAUGGAGAAUAUGGAAGCAGAUUACUCUAACAAAGCUUCUACAAAGGAAAAUGAAGACAACAAGAUUUAGCCAAACUUGUAUGCAGAAGAAGCCAGACAGCGAUACAUGGGAGAAUUUAACAUUCCCCUGUCAGCCAUCAACUUUGCAUCAGAGUCGAAGGCAUUUAGAAAGUUGAACGCCCAACAUCUGGCAGAAUUUUUUGCAAAUUUCAAUUCAAAUUAAAAAAAAAACUGGAAUGAAACUAAACUUUCCUCCAGCAAUAGCAGUAGCUAAAACUGAAGACCCUUUUUCCACCUGAUGCAGAGGUAGAGUUCAUUGAUGGUAAUUGUACGCAUCGAUCAUGUUAUGCUUCAGUUACAGGAGCUCUGCACGGAGAUAGAAGAAUGCAAAACAAGAAAGGUUUUCCUGUACAAGAAGCUGUCACAGGGAGCUUUGUCAUUUCUUGGCCUAUCAAGAAAUGACGAAACUUUCAACAGCUUGAGAACUUGUCAGUUUGAGGAAUGAACAAUUAUGAGAAAUGUUCUGCUGGUGAUAUACGCAGGGACAGUUUCAACAACCUUCAAGGAUGACUUCAUCAGCUUUUUAAUGCUGUGGCUUUUGCAAACACGCCAGAAGAGGAACUUAUCACAGCCGCCUUUGUUGAUACACCAACCACAGAGUGAACGGGGGGGGGGGGGUGGAGAUAGACGAACUCCCAUACUGCUUCAAACGUCACUGGGGAAAAUGAUGAAACCUUUAGCAGUACUCAAAUAAAUGCAAAUUCUUUUGCGCUGAAUAAGAAAAGACAUUCAACAAUUUGGCAGAGAUGAAAAACAAUUUCUUAUUUUGUCCUUUUUGUGUCAAAUAAAGAAUUUGAAAUUAAUUAUUGACAAUGUCAACUCGUCAUCAAGAAAGUUUUUGAGUACUACCUGCAGAACAAGAAACUCUAAACAGUGAAAUAUGUUGAACUUGGACAUGUGAAAUAAUUAUAGCGCAAGCACUUAUUGUAUUCAUUAAUUAUGUUGAAGGUUUCUAACAUAAUCUCUAAUCAACACAUUUUAAGUACUGGUAAUCAAUGGUGAGACAUACAGAAUGGUUGGAAAAAAAGUGGUUUAUUUUCAAUGUGAUAUACCAGUUGUCAGGAGUUUACACUGAGAACUUAACGUCUGACAUUCUUCACAAGCAAUAAUUAUUGUUAAGACGUUUCUAUUUCAAUUUAAUAAAAGACAUGUAAUCUUUGAAA